rnacentral:lncRNA from 10 species
CCGCGACGCCCCCCCGCUGUCGCCUGGCCCGCGACGCACCGAGGCCUGAGGACCCGAAAGCCGGGCGCGGGGAGAUGACCGGUGGCUCGUGACGGUCCCACGGGCAAAAUCUUCCAUCGCCCGGGGCUGAGACUUGUCAAACUGCCCUCUACGGUCACCCGGAAAGUAGGAGGCUUUUUCUGCAGAGGGGAAAAAAAUCAAAAAGAGCCGUUCCAUCCCCCCUCCAAGGACUGGGUUUGAAUUGCUUUUCAUCUGCAGUGGCUGUGAUUCAGCGUCCCUCUUAGCAGCAGGCAAUGACAGAGGCAGGAGAGGGGAAAAAAAAAAAGAAAGAAAGAAAAAACACAGCAAAUGAAUCAAACGGACCAGGUAGCAGGCAAGAGUGUGGUUAUCGUUGGACCAGGAUUCAGGAUCUGACUGAGUAGCUGACUCUUAAUCCAGUUUGUGUUGAUCACCAGGAGGAUCUGGACCUCAGUAUUACCACAUCUAGAGCUAUAAUCACAUCCCUGUUAAGCCUUCCUGAGAUCACACCAAAUGUCCUUGAUGGGAAUUGUAAACAACCCUUACUUCUGGUUUCUAAUGAUAUUCCAGGAAAGGAGCCUAACUAGAGUCAGUGAUAUGCCAACUCCACCUUUGCCUUCCACCAUGUUUGGAAGCUCCCUGAGGCCUCACCAGGAGCAGAUGCUCGUCCCAUGCUUCCUAUAAGCCUGCAGAACUGUGAGCCAUAAUAAACUGUGAAUUAUAAAUUGCCUUUAUAGCAAUGCAAAUGGACCAGUACAGAUGGGAUGCUGGGAAGACAGUUGUUUCCACCUUCAGUAAAGUCCGUGGAACACAGUUGUGACUAUAUUCUAGGCCAGCCAAGAUGCUUGUACUCAGAAAGGAGUGGUCUCAGGACCAUAAGAAAGUGAAAAAAUAAAAAUAAGAAAAUAAAGAAGGGAUUGUCAAUGAAUCAGAAUUCAUCAAGGUCAAAGUCUUAGGAAAUUCCUUCAUGAGGAAGUCUAGGGGGGCUAUGGAAAUGAAAUUUUUAAACAAAUAGGUAUGUGGUGCUGGCAGGAAUAAAUUAUGGACUUAUGAAUAUAACAUAAGAUUCUUUAUUACCUGGUCUCACCCGUCUUUCCACCUCUGCCCCCCUUCUUGCCCGACUCUGUGUAUCACCCAUAAUAAACUACUUACAGCUUCCUAGUGUUAAAUUUACCCUAAAGCUGCCUCCUUCAAUAUUUUAAGUUUAACCUAAAGGUUCUUCAUACAUAGUGAACUAUAACCCAAUGAUUAAACAGAUUGUAACCUACUCUUGUACCAGUCACCAAGUUUCAGCCAAUCAGAGGUGGCCAACUGUUCAAACCAUGCUCAAAUAAGGGAAAUGUCAUGGUGUAACUAAUCCAGCUGUUUCUAUACCUUACUUCUGUUUUCUUAGGUCACUUUCCUUUUUUGUCCAUAAAUUCUCUCCAACCACUCAGCAGCACUGGAGUCACUCCAAAGCUAUCCUGGUUCAGGGGUCUGUCUGAUUCACAAGUCAUUCUUUGUUCAAUUGAGCUCUGCUAAAUUUAAUUUGUCUGAAGUUUUUCUUUUAACAGAUGGUGUCAGAAAUGGACCCCAAAGUAGAGCUCCCAGUGAUCCCCCAGGAGCACUGAGUGACCACAAGGGGUACCUGCUGGGCCCGUCCUCUCGCAGUGUCCACUGCUCUCUUACAGCAACUGGAGAUUGUGGCUGCAUUCUCUCUCAGAUUCUGAAGCUCCAUACAUUGCCGUUUUCAGCUGUUCAAGCUUGCUUGAGCAAAUUUUUGAUCUUAGCUGAGUUUGGAAGUCGAUAGACAUUGGACUGGGUCCAGGAUUUGAUUGGAUCUGAUAAUUAACUGGCUUGGAUCCAGUUAGAUGCCUCGGUUAUCUGACUGGGUCAGAUAGAAACCGCCAGUAAAUAUUUUAAUAACAAUACUGCAGGGGUAUGAACUCUGGCUUUAAGAAACUCACAAGGAAUUUUAUGUUCUAUACCCUUUGUUUCUUUUUCUUGUGUGCUUCGGUCAGGAAAAAUCAUUAGUCAAGUUAAUCAAGGGGAUCUGAGAGCCAAAUACAAGAUUCAACGUAAAAAUGGAAUCCUUGGGCUAGGCGUGGUGGCUCAGGCCUGUAAUCCCAGGACUUUGGGAGGCUGAGGCAGGCGGAUCACCUGACCUUAGGAGUUCGAGACCAGUCUGGCCAACAUGGUGAAACCCCGUCUCCACUAAAAAUACAAAAAUUAGCCAGGCGUGGUGGUGGGCACCUGUAAUCCCAGCUACUUUGGAGGCUGAGGCAGGAUAAUCACUUGAACCCAGGAGGCAGAGGUUGCAGUGAUCUGAGAUUGCACCACUGCACUCCAGCCUGGGCAAAAGAGCGAGACUCCAUCUCAUAAAUAAAUACAUAAAUAAAUAAAGAAAUCCUUAAUUUCUGCGGAACUGAGUGCUCUACCUUCUGGCUACACCUACGUAUACCUGUAUGAGGUAUAGGCCCUGGAAGCAGCAAACACUUACAGAAAUGGUGAAAUCUUACUAAAGACAGAUUCUUUUAAAAGAUUCUUUGUAAAAGGCAAAUAAAAAGCUUAAGUGACUAAUCAGAAAAAUUAGGUCUUCUAACCUUUUGUCAUUGUUACUGUCUUGCCCUGAAAGGGAAAAGAAAGCUGGAUAAAGUAUUUAUAGAAGAUAGAGGACCUGUGGUGGCUCAUGCCUGUAAUCCAAGGUGGAAGGAUUGCUUGAGGCCAGAAGUUCAAGACCAGUCCAAGCAACAUAGCAAGGCCCCAUCUCUACAAAAAAUGAAAAUAAAAUUAGCCGAGCGUGAUGGCUCAUGCCUGUAGUUCUAGCUUCUAGAGAGGCUGAGGCAGGAGGAUUGCUUGAGUCCAGGAGUUCAAGAUUACAGUGAGCUAUGGUCACACCACUGCACUCCAGCCUGGGUGAUGGAGUGAGACUGUCUCAAUAAAAAGACAAAAAGGUCAAGGAAGCUUUUCCUGAUCCACUAACUAAGGACAAUCAAACCCUUCAUGAUCUAGAAUCUGGAGACUGUGUCUUCUGGGAAUAGUAUCAGAGAAAGACUGCCCUUACUGCCCACAUGUAGCAAAACUUUGAGACGUUGAAUUAUGGGUCCAUAAUCUCACAACUCAGAGGGGCACCUCUAGACUCUUGGAACUGUAUAUCUAUUGGAGACUUUAAGGUAAAGCUGAACAGAGAGACGUUUUUCUCCAGAAGCAGACAGCACCAUAGUCAUGGACAGCUUUCCCAAGAUCACAGAUCAAGACUUCUCUGCCGUCAUGAGACUCAUAACCUCUUAAUUUUUUCUUGCUUAUGCUUCUGUGAACAAUAGAAUUGGAAAAGGGGUGGUCCCGCGUGCACCCAUAGGGUAUACUUUUAUUUGUGGAGGAUUUUGCUGCCAACCUUAUACAUGGGCAAACUUAUGCCUUCAUGGAUGGAAGAUAAAGGGCUAAUAUGGGUUAGAAAUUUUAAUGGUACCUUUGUUUCUCCAUAAUCAUUCAGAAACAGAACACUGGUCCACUCUUGUUAACCUACAUCAUAGGUUGAAGAGAACAUUGCCAGGAGGCCUUCAUCCUUCCAGAUGGGCACCAUUUGUUGGGUCUUUUUCCGUGGUAUGAAGAAAAUGAAGCAAUGAUUAGAAAUUGGUCCCUCGGCCGGGCACAAUGGCUCAUGCCUGUAAUCCCAUCACUUUGGCAGGCCGAGGCGGGUGGAUCACCUGAGGUCAGGAGUUUGAGACCAGCCUGACCAAUGUGGUGAAACGCCAUCUCUACUAAAAAUACAAAAAUUAGCUGGGUGUGAUGGUGCACACCUGUAAUCCAGCUACUCGGGAGGCUGAGACAGGAGAAUUGCUUGAACCUGGGAGGCAGAGGUUGCAGUGAGCCAAGAUCACCCCACUGCAUUCCAGGUUGGGCAACAGAGCAAGACUCUGUCUCAAAAAAAAAAGAAGAAAGAAAGAAAUUGAUCCCUCAUAAUAGGCUGUAUAGCAGAUUCUACUGCAAAGGCUAUGGUUGCACAACAGACUUCUUUGAAUUUGCUUGCUAAACUUUUACUGGAUAAUACUGGGAUUACAGGUGUGAGCCACUGUGCCCAGCCUCUCCUGUUUAACUGUAUUCAUUCUAAUGUUUACUUACUUCUUUAAUUUGUAAAAUUGGGUCACUUAGAGUUUUUUUAGCCUAUCUUGCCAUUUAGCCACUGUUACUGAUAAUUUGGAUGGAAAAGAAAAAUAAAUUAUAUCACCUCUCAUCUUCAGUGUAUAUAUGUGUUAACUUAGUAAAUAUAGUAUUCUUUCUCGUUCCUAAUGAAAAUUUAGUUUACGUACUGAAACACUGCAAACUUUUAUAAAUAUUGUGAUGUAUUUGACCAAUACAAAGGAUCUUUUUAGAAACAGCAAACAGUUCUCAGAUUAUAGGAAUUACUCAUUUAAUGAUAGUUUCUUCUU